CCCUUAGAUGUUCUGGGCCGCACGCGUGCUACACUGAGUAAAUCAAUGGGUAAGGGAACACGAAAGUGCAACCUAAUCUUCAAAUUUGCUCGUGAUGGGGAUCGACGGUUGCAAUUUUCCGUCGUGAACGAGGAAUACCUUGUAGGCGCGUGUCAUCAUCACGCGCCGAAUACGUCCCUGCCCUUUGUACACACCGCCCGUCGCUCCUACCGAUUGAAUGCUCAGGUGAGCCAUUCGGACUUUCAUCAUGCUGGUUUCCAGUUUUGAUGAAGGAAAGUCUUGCGAACCUUAUCAUUUAGAGGAAGGAGAAGUCGUAACA
rnacentral:rRNA from 1 species